CAAGGAGUUUUCCGCAAUGGGCGCAAGCCUGACGGGGCAACGCCGCGUGGGGGAUGACGCCCUUCGGGGUGUAAACCCCUUUUCUUGGGGAUGAAGCAGUGACGGUACCCGAGGAAGAAGGCCCGGCUAACUACGUGCCAGCAGCCGCGGUAAUACGUAGGGGCCGAGCGUUGUCCGGAGUUACUGGGCGUAAAGCGCGCGCAGGCGGCUCGUCAAGCCUGACGUGAAAGCCCCCGGCUCAACCGGGGAGGGUCGUCGGGGACUGGCGGGCUUGAGGUCGGCAGGGGUGGGUGGAAUUCCCGGUGUAGUGGUGAAAUGCGUAGAGAUCGGGAGGAACACCCGUGGCGAAGGCGGCCAACUGGGCCGGACCUGACGCUGAGGCGCGAAGGCGUGGGGAGCGAACG
rnacentral:rRNA from 1 species